rnacentral:misc_RNA from 1 species
GCCGGGGUAGACUAGAGGGUACAUCUGUCCAUCAAGCGGCGGGCCGGAGUAGAGCGAGACACCGGCGAGCUUGUUCCCGUUACCGAGAGUGACGUCUGCCGGGAAUGUCCGGUCGAGGGUGCUGGCGCCGACAGUGGUGAUCCAUGGAGCGAGGUUGGUGACAGACAUGGCGGUGGGGCCGUCAUUGCCGGCGGAGGCUGAGACGAGAACGCCGCGGGAGACGGCGCCGUAGGCGCCGAUAGCGAUCGGGUCGAGGUAGUAGGGGGAGGCGACACCCUCCCCGCCGCCGAUGGAGAUGGAGAGGACGUCAACGCCGUCUGCGACGGCGCGGUCGAACCCGGCGAGGAUGUCGG